CUUGCUCCUUUGACGUUAGCGGCGGACGGGUGAGUAACACGUGGAUAACCUACCUAUAAGACUGGGAUAACUUCGGGAAACCGGAGCUAAUACCGGAUAAGAUUUUGAACCGCAUGGUUCAAUAGUGAAAGACGGCCUUGCUGUCACUUAUAGAUGGAUCCGCGCCGUAUUAGCUAGUUGGUAAGGUAACGGCUUACCAAGGCAACGAUACGUAGCCGACCUGAGAGGGUGAUCGGCCACACUGGAACUGAGACACGGUCCAGACUCCUACGGGAGGCAGCAGUAGGGAAUCUUCCGCAAUGGGCGAAAGCCUGACGGAGCAACGCCGCGUGAGUGAUGAAGGUCUUCGGAUCGUAAAACUCUGUUAUCAGGGAAGAACAAACGUGUAAGUAACUGUGCACGUCUUGACGGUACCUGAUCAGAAAGCCACGGCUAACUACGUGCCAGCAGCCGCGGUAAUACGUAGGUGGCAAGCGUUAUCCGGAAUUAUUGGGCGUAAAGCGCGCGUAGGCGGUUUUUUAAGUCUGAUGUGAAAGCCCACGGCUCAACCGUGGAGGGUCAUUGGAAACUGGAAAACUUGAGUGCAGAAGAGGAAAGUGGAAUUCCAUGUGUAGCGGUGAAAUGCGCAGAGAUAUGGAGGAACACCAGUGGCGAAGGCGACUUUCUGGUCUGUAACUGACGCUGAUGUGCGAAAGCGUGGGGAUCAAACAGGAUUAGAUACCCUGGGUAGUCCACGCCGU
rnacentral:rRNA from 1 species